UACGUAGGAUGCAAGCGUUGUCCGGAAUUAUUGGGCGUAAAGCGUGCGCAGGCGGUGAUGUAAGACAGAUGUGAAAUCCCCGGGCUCAACCUGGGAACUGCAUUUGUGACUGCAUCGCUGGAGUGCGGCAGAGGGGGAUGGAAUUCCGCGUGUAGCAGUGAAAUGCGUAGAUAUGCGGAGGAACACCGAUGGCGAAGGCAAUCCCCUGGGCCUGCACUGACGCUCAUGCACGAAAGCGUGGGGAGCAAACAGG
rnacentral:rRNA from 1 species